GAUGAACGCUGGCGGCGUGCCUAAUACAUGCAAGUCGAGCGGACGGGCGAGCUUUUUCCUGCUGUUAUGUUGUCGGCGGGCGGGUGAGUAAAACGUGGCUCACCUACCUAUAAGCCUGAGAUUACUUCGGGAACCCGGAGCUAAUACCGAAUAAUAUUUUGAACCGCAUGGUUCAGAAGUGAAAGACGGUCUUGCUGUCACUUAUAGAUGGUUCCGCGCUGCAUUAGCUAGUUGGUAAGGUAACGGCUUACCAAGGCAACGAUGCCGAGCCGACCUGAGGGGGUGAUCGGCCACACUGGAACUGAGACACGGUCCAGACUCCGACGGGAGGCAGCAGUAGGGAAUCUUCCGCAAUGGGCGAAAGCCUGACGGAGCAGCGCCGCGUGAGUGAUGAAGGUCUUCGGAUCGGAAAACUCUGUUACUAGGGAAGAACAUAUGUGUAAGUAGUUGGGCACAUCUUGACGGUACCUAAUCAGAAAGCCACGGCUAACUACGUG
rnacentral:rRNA from 1 species